GAUGAACGCUGGCGGCGUGCCUAAUACAUGCGAGUCGAGCGAACAGACGAGGAGCUUGCUCCUCUGACGUUAGCGGCGGACGGGUGAGUAACACGUGGAUAACCUACCUAUAAGACUGGGAUAACUUCGGGAAACCGGAGCUAAUACCGGAUAAUAUAUUGAACCGCAUGGUUCAAUAGUGAAAGACGGUUUUGCUGUCACUUAUUGAUGGAUCCGCGCCGCAUUAGCUAGUUGGUAAGGUAACGGCUUACCAAGUCGACGAUGCGUAGCCGACCUGAGAGGGUGAUCGGCCACACUGGAACUGAGACACGGUCCAGACUCCUACGGGAGGCAGCAGUAGGGAAUCUUCCGCAAUGGGCGAAAGCCUGACGGAGCAACGCCGCGUGAGUGAUGAAGGUCUUCGGAUCGUAAAACUCUGUUAUUAGGGAAGAACAAAUGUGUAAGUAACUAUGCACGUCUUGACGGUACCUAAUCAGAAAGCCACGGCUAACUACGUG
rnacentral:rRNA from 1 species